UACGAAGGGGGCGAGCGUUGUUCGGAUUUACUGGGCGUAAAGGGCGCGCAGGCGGCCGGCCAAGUCAGGCGUGAAAGCCCCGGGCUUAACCUGGGAAUUGCGUCUGGGACUGGUUGGCUAGAGAUCGGGAGAGGAGAGUGGAAUUCCCAGUGUAGAGGUGAAAUUCGUAGAUAUUGGGAAGAACCCCGGUGGCGAGGGCGGCUCUCUGGACCGAUACUGACGCUGAGGCGGGAAAGCGUGGGAGCAAACAGG
rnacentral:rRNA from 1 species